rnacentral:rRNA from 1 species
AUUGAACGCUGGCGGCAGGCCUAAUACAUGCAAGUCGAACGAGUGGCGGACGGGUGAGUAAUGUCUGGGAAACUGCCCGAUGGAGGGGGAUAACUACUGGAAACGGUAGCUAAUACCGCAUACCAUCGGAUGUGCCCAGAUGGGAUUAGCCAGUAGGUGGGGUAACGGCUCACCUAGGCGACGAUCCCUAGCUGGUCUGAGAGGAUGACCGGCCACACUGGAACUGAGACACGGUCCAGACUCCUACGGGAGGCAGCAGGAGGGAAUAUUGCGCAAUGGGCGCAAGCCUGAUGCAGCCAUGCCGCGUGUAUGAAGAAGGCCUUUGGGUUGUAAAGUACUGUCAGCGAGGAGGCGUUACUCGCAGAAGAAGCCCCGGCUAACUCCGUGCCAGCAGCCGCGGUAAUUC